ensembl:lincRNA 1700001L05Rik RIKEN cDNA 1700001L05 gene
CGUUGAAAGCAGCAGGACAAAAAAGCACUGCUACUACCACAAAGGAAGCUGGGCCACUUACCUUUGAAGAUGGCUUGCACACCUCAUCUUUAAGUCUUUCCCUAAGAAUGGAUGGUACGUCAAUGACCCCAUGAAGUUAAGAGACAGUUAUUUUCAUAGCUGGGAUGAUAGUGCCAACUGCUACUAGAAAGAGGAUGAGACACUUAGACCACUGUGACAAAGCACAAGCUCUUCAGGCAAAUGUAAGCUACAGGACCAGGAAGCCAGAACUACAGACUGAAGUGCCUUCUGCACCCUCCUUUCCAGCAUUCAGUUCACAUGCAGAGUGGCUGGCCGGUGAUGUGUGCAGUAUGUAGAAAGGCAGGUAGGGCCAGGACAUAAGUGAGCCACACUUGGUCUGCUACUGCCUGGCCUACAGCCAAGCAGGGCUGGGCAGGAGCCAUCAGG